GCCCGCGUGGCGGAAUUGGUAUACGCGGCAGGUUGAGGGCCUGUGUCCUUACGGACGUGGAGGUUCGAGUCCUCUCCUGGGCACCA
rnacentral:tRNA from 1 species